rnacentral:rRNA from 1 species
ACCUGGUUGAUCCUGCCAGUAGUGAUAUGCUUGUCUCAAAGAUUAAGCCAUGCAAGUCUAAGUAUAAAUCAUUUUUACUGAUGAAACUGCGAACGGCUCAUUAAAUCAGUUAUAGUUUAUUUGAUGGUAUUGGGACUUGUCCCAACUACAUGGAUAACUGUAGUAACCUAGAGCUAAUACAUGCAAAUCAACCCAACUAGUAUUCGGAAGGGUUGGCACUUAUUAGAUAACAAACCAAUACCUUCGGGUUUAAAUGGUGAAUCAUAAUAACUGAACAGAUCGCAUGGCCUUUGUGCCGGCGACGUUUCAUUCAAAUUUCUGCCCUAUCAACUAGAUGUUAGUAUAUAGGACUAACAUGGUUUUAACGGGUGACGGGGAAUUGGGGUUCGAUUCCGGAGAAGGAGCAUGAGAAACGGCUACUACUUCUAAGGAAAGCAGCAGGCGCGCAAAUUAUUCAAUGGAAACAAUUUUCCGAAAUAGUGACAAAAAAUAACAAUGUAUUGCACAAUGUGUGAUACAAUUGGAAUGAGUACAAUUUAAAACCCUUAACGAGUAACAAUUAGAGGGCAAGUCUGGUGCCAGCAGCCGCGGUAAUUCCAGCUCUAAUAGCGUAUAUUAAUAUUGUUGCAGUUAAAAAGCUCGUAGUUGAAACUUGAGUAUUUCUAUCAAGUUUGGUCUACCUUUUAAGGUUUUGACUACUUGAUGAUACUCUUCCUACUAGUAACUCGAUUAUGUUCUUAAUUGAGUGUAAUAGCUAUCUUUCGGGGUAGUCAAUCUAUGAGAAUAGCUCCACCAUACUGAUGGAAGUGUGUAAAAGCACUGAAAGAAGAUGAGUGGAUCAAGUUAUACUUGUAGAUUGGAGUUCUAGUUCGUUUACUUUGAGAAAAUUAGAGUGUUUAAAGCAGCCUCUUGGGGCUCUGAAUACAUUAGCAUGGGAUAAUAGAAUAGGAUUUAAGUCACUAUAUUUGUUGGUUUGAAUGAUCUUAAAUAAUGAUUAAUAGGGACAGUUGGGGGUAUUUAUAUUGGAUGGUUAGCGGUGAAAUGCAUGGAUCCAUUCAAGAUAAACUAAGGCGAAAGCAUUUACCAAGGAUGUUUUCAUUAAUCAAGAACGGAAGUUAAGGGAUCGAAGACGAUCAGAUACCGUCGUAGUCUUAACUAUAAACUAUGCCGACCAGGGAUAUGAGUUGUUAUGAAUAGUAUUCUAAUAGUAUUAUUCAACUUCCUCUUGUGGACCUUGUGAGAAAUCAUAAGUUUUUGGGUUCUGGGGGGAGUAUGGUCGCAAGGCUGAAACUUAAA